CUACGGGCCGCUGCAGUGGGGAAUUUUGCGCAAUGGGCGAAAGCCUGACGCAGCGAUACCGCGUGAGUGAAGAAGGCCUUUGGGUCGUAAAGCUCUUUUUUUAGGGAAGAUAAUGACGGUACCUAAAGAAUAAGCACCGGCUAACUCCGUGCCAGCAGCCGCGGUAAUACGGAGGGUGUGAGCGUUGUUCGGAUUUACUGGGCGUAAAGGGCACGUAGGCGGCAUAGUAAGCUAAGGGUGAAAUCCCAGAGCUCAACUUUGGAACAGCUCUUAGAACUGCUAAGCUAGAGAUAGUUAGAGGCGGGUGGAAUUCCUGGUGUAGAGGUGAAAUUCGUAGAUAUCAGGAGGAACACCGGAGGCGAAGGCGGCCCGCUGGGGCUAUUCUGACGCUGAUGUGCGAAAGCGUGGGGAGCGAACGGGAUUAGAUACCCUGGUAGUC
rnacentral:rRNA from 1 species